rnacentral:rRNA from 1 species
AGCGAACGCUGGCGGCAGGCCUAACACAUGCAAGUCGAACGAAGUCUUCGGACUUAGUGGCGGACGGGUGAGUAACACGUGGGAACGUGCCUUUAGGUUCGGAAUAACUCAGGGAAACUUGUGCUAAUACCGAAUGUGCCCUUCGGGGGAAAGAUUUAUCGCCUUUAGAGCGGCCCGCGUCUGAUUAGCUAGUUGGUGAGGUAAAGGCUCACCAAGGCGACGAUCAGUAGCUGGUCUGAGAGGAUGAUCAGCCACAUUGGGACUGAGACACGGCCCAAACGCCUACGGGAGGCAGCAGUGGGGAAUCUUGCGCAAUGGGCGAAAGCCUGACGCAGCCAUGCCGCGUGAAUGAUGAAGGUCUUAGGAUUGUAAAACUCUUUCACCGGGGACGAUAAUGACGGUACCCGGAGAAGAAGCCCCGGCUAACUUCGUGCCAGCCGCCGCGGUAA